AUAUGUAACUUCUGAGUAAAACCAUAAAUAAAUCAAAACUUUCAACAACGGAUCUCUUGGUCUGGCAUCGAUGAAGAACGCAGCAAAAUGCGAUAAGUAAUGUGAAUUGCAGAAUUCAGUGAAUCAUCGAAUCUUUGAACGCACAUUGCGCCCGCC
rnacentral:rRNA from 1 species